rnacentral:rRNA from 1 species
CCUACGGGGGGCAGCAGUGAGGAAUAUUGGUCAAUGGGCUUACGCCUGAACCAGCCAAGUCGCGUGAGUGAAGAAUGCCCUAUGGGUUGUAAACCUCUUUUUUCAGGGAGCAACGCCGUCUACGUGUAGCCGGACUGAUAGUACCUAACUAAAAAGCAUCGGCUAACUCCUUACCAGCCGCCGCGGUCAUACGGAGUAUGCUAGCGUUAUCCGUAUUUAUUGGGUUUAAAGGGUGCGUAGGCGGACUUCCAAGUUGGCGGUAAACUCGCGGGGCUAAACCGAGCUGCGCCGUUGAAACUGGGGGGCUUGAGUGGGCGAGAAGUAUGCGGAAUGCGUGGUGUAGCGGUGAAAUGCAUAGAUAUAACGCAGAACUCCGAUUGCGAAGGCAGCAUACCGGUGCCUAACUGACGCUGAAGCACGAAAGCGUGGGUAUCGAACAGGAUUAGAUACCCUAGUAGUA